rnacentral:rRNA from 1 species
UUCGGGGCCUAGCGGCGGACGGGUGAGUAACACGUGGGUAACCUGCCUGUAAGACUGGGAUAACUUCGGGAAACCGAAGCUAAUACCGGAUAAUUUCGAGCAUCGCAUGAUGCUUGAUGGAAAGGCGGCUUCGGCUGUCACUUACAGAUGGACCCGCGUCGCAUUAGCUAGUUGGUGAGGUAACGGCUCACCAAGGCGACGAUGCGUAGCCGACCUGAGAGGGUGAUCGGCCACACUGGGACUGAGACACGGCCCAGACUCCUACGGGAGGCAGCAGUAGGGAAUCUUCGGCAAUGGGCGAAAGCCUGACCGAGCAACGCCGCGUGAGCGAUGAAGGCCUUCGGGUCGUAAAGCUCUGUUGUUAAGGAAGAACAAGUACGAGAGUAACUGCUCGUACCUUGACGGUACUUAACGAGAAAGCCACGGCUAACUACGUGCCAGCAGCCGCGGUAAUACGUAGGUGGCGAGCGUUAUCCGGAAUUAUUGGGCGUAAAGCGCGCGCAGGCGGUUUCUUAAGUCUGAUGUGAAAGCCCACGGCUCAACCGUGGAGGGUCAUUGGAAACUGGGAAACUUGAGUGCAGAAGAGGAAAGCGGAAUUCCACGUGUAGCGGUGAAAUGCGUAGAGAUGUGGAGGAACACCAGUGGCGAAGGCGGCUUUCUGGUCUGUAACUGACGCUGAGGCGCG